UACAGAGGGUGCAAGCGUUAAUCGGAAUUACUGGGCGUAAAGCGUGCGUAGACGGUUAUGUAAGUCCGUUGUGAAAGCCCUGGGCUCAACCUGGGAAUGGCAGUGGAUACUGGCGAGCUAGAGUGUGAUAGAGGAUGGUGGAAUUCCCGGUGUAGCGGUGAAAUGCGUAGAGAUCGGGAGGAACACCAGUGGCGAAGGCGGCCAUCUGGAUCAACACUGACGCUGAGGCACGAAAGCGUGGGGAGCAAACAGG
rnacentral:rRNA from 1 species